rnacentral:rRNA from 1 species
GACGAACGCUGGCGGCGUGCUUAACACAUGCAAGUCGAACGAAGUGGCGAACGGGUGAGUAACGCGUAAUCAACCUGCCCUUCAGAGGGGGACAACAGUUGGAAACGACUGCUAAUACCGCAUACUGAAGGAGGGGAUUGCGUCUGAUUAGCUAGUUGGAGGGGUAACGGCCCACCAAGGCGAUGAUCAGUAGCCGGUCCGGGAAGGUGAACGGGCACAUUGGGACUGGGAAACGGCCCAGAAUCCUACGGGAGGGAGCAAGGGGGAAACUUCCGGAAUGGACGAAAGUCUGACGGAGCAAAGCCGCGUGAGUGGUGACGGGCUUCGGGUUGGAAAGCUCUGUUAAUCGGGGCGCGGUACCGGAAUAGAAAGCCACGGCUAACUACGUGCCAGCCGCCGCGGUAAUAC